UAUGCUUAACACAUGCAAGUCGAACGGGCUUAUAGGGGCAACUCUGUAAGUCAGUGGCAAACGGGUGAGUAAUACAUAGGAAUCUACCUAACAGUAAGGAAUAACACUGGAAACCAAUGCUAAUGCCAUAUAUUACCGAUUUAUCGGGAAAGAUUUAUCGCUGUUAGAUGAGCCUGUGUCGGAUUAGCUAGUUGGUAGGGUAAUGGCCUACCAAGGCGAUGAUCCGUAGCUGGUCUGAGAGGAUGAUCAGCCACACUGGGACUGCGACACGGCCCAGACUCCUACGGGAGGCAGCAGUGGGGAAUAUUGGACAAUGGGCGCAAGCCUGAUCCAGCAAUACCACGUGAGUGAUGAAGGCCUUCGGGUUGUAAAACUCUUUUAGUAGGAAAGAUAAUGACGGUACCUACAGAAAAAGCACCGGCUAACUUCGUGCCAGCCGCCGCCGUAA
rnacentral:rRNA from 1 species